rnacentral:rRNA from 1 species
AUACGGAGGAUGCAAGCGUUAUCCGGAUUUAUUGGGUUUAAAGGGUGCGUAGGCGGUUUGCUAAGCGGGAGGUGAAAUGCCGGCGCUCAACGUCGGAAGUGCCUCCCGAACUGGUGGACUUGAAUGACUCUGCCGUGGGAGGAAUGUGUAGUGUAGCGGUGAAAUGCUUAGAUAUCAUGAAGAACUCCGAUUGCGAAGGCAGUCCGCUGGGGCACGUCUGACGCUGAUGCUCGAAGGUGCGGGAAUCAAACAGGAUUAGAUACCCUGGUAGUCCGCACGGUAAACGAUGAUUACCCGCUGUCGGCGGCAGACAGUCGGCGGCCAAGCGAAAGCGAUAAGCGCCCCACCUGGGGAGUACGGUCGCAAGGCUGAAACUCAAAUGAAUUGGCGGGG